GGGCAGUUAGCUCAGGCGGUAGAGCAUCUCGUUUACACCGAGAGGGUCGGGGGUUCGAUUCCCUCACUGCCCACCA
rnacentral:tRNA from 2 species